CCUACGGGUGGCAGCAGUGAGGAAUAUUGGUCAAUGGGCGAGAGCCUGAACCAGCCAAGUCGCGUGAGGGAGUACUGCCCUAUGGGUUGUAAACCUCUUUUGUCGGGGAGCAAAAGCCGGACGUGUCCGGCUGUGAGAGUACCCGAAGAAAAAGCAUCGGCUAACUCCGUGCCAGCAGCCGCGGUAAUACGUAGGGGGCAAGCGUUAUCCGGAUUUACUGGGUGUAAAGGGUGCGUAGGUGGCAGGGCAAGUCAGAUGUGAAAGCCCGGGGCUCAACCCCGGUACUGCAUUUGAAACUGUCCAGCUGGAGUGCAGGAGAGGUAAGCGGAAUUCCUAGUGUAGCGGGGAAAUGCGUAGAUAUUAGGAGGAACACCAGUGGCGAAGGCGGCUUACUGGACUGUAACUGACACUGAGGCACGAAAGCGUGGGGAGCAAACAGGAUUAGAUACCCCUGUAGUC
rnacentral:rRNA from 1 species